AUUAAUUGACUUAUAUAGGCACAUGUUUUUUUCUUUUUUUUUCUUUUUGGCUUGUGCGAUUAAACGCCACCGGGUGUGGAGCCCAAUGGGCUGGAGGUUGUGCACCCAUCGGGCUGGCCCGCAUGGCCCAGAAAACAAGCGACGGAGACAGGACAGGCCCGGCCCAUGAGGCGUCGAGUUUUUGAAGAAUCAAUUCAAUUGAAUGCCGCACCCACGGCCGAACCGUCUGAAAGAGAAACAUACC
rnacentral:lncRNA from 1 species